AGUGGCAGACGGGUGAGUAACACGUGGGAACGUACCCUUUGGUUCGGGACAACUCUGGGAAACUGGAGCUAAUACCGGAUACGCCCUUUUGGGGAAAGGUUUACUGCCGAAGGAUCGGCCCGCGUCUGAUUAGCUAGUUGGUGGGGUAACGGCCUACCUAGGCGACGAUCAGUAGCUGGUCUGAGAGGAUGAUCAGCCACACUGGGACUGAGACACGGCCCAGACUCCUACGGGAGGCAGCAGUGGGGAAUAUUGGACAAUGGGCGCAAGCCUGAUCCAGCCAUGCCGCGUGAGUGAUGAAGGCCUUAGGGUUGUAAAGCUCUUUUAUCCGGGACGAUAAUGACGGUACCGGAGGAAUAAGCCCCGGCUAACUUCGUGCCAGCAGCCGCGGUAAUACGAAGGGGGCUAGCGUUGCUCGGAAUCACUGGGCGUAAAGGGCGCGUAGGCGGCGUUUUAAGUCGGGGGUGAAAGCCUGUGGCUCAACCACAGAAUGGCCUUCGAUACUGGGACGCUUGAGUCUGGUAGAGGUUGGUGGAACUGCGAGUGUAGAGGUGAAAUUCGUAGAUAUUCGCAAGAACACCGGUGGCGAAGGCGGCCAACUGGACCGGCACUGACGCUGAGGCGCGAAAGCGUGGGGAGCAAACAGGACUAGAUACCCUGGUAGUCCAC
rnacentral:rRNA from 1 species